GAGAAACAGGCAUUUCUUGGGGCAGCCGCUCGCGGAGGCCCGGAAGGCCGGCGAGCGGAGGCCGGGCGCAUGCGCCGUGAGCCUCCAGUGCUUCGCGCGGCGCGGAUCUGUAGUUUUUUUUGCGUGGGGUGUCGUAGGCGUUUUUUGAGAGAACGUGGGAAGUUAGAGCUGGAAGGCACCUCUAAGGUGUUCCUAGGCCAGCACGAUCGUCUUCUAAAGGCAGACAGGGUCCUAAGCCAAAUAUGGAAAGUUAUGGGCAGAGCAAGCGCCACAUCACAUCACCUGUCAUCUGACCCAGUCCUUUGCCUUUCAUUAGCUCUUUUCUAACCCCGAUCUCCCCCACAUCUUGUAUCGAGAUCUGGGCUCUCCCGGUUCACUGGUGAGCCACAAGGAACUGCGCAGAUGUGAACCAGAAAACAUUGACUGAGGGCCUCCAGUAUGCCAGGCAUUUUGGAAUUUGAAGAAAGCCUGUGUGUUAGGCAGUGACCCCAUUUAAGUUUGAGAUUGAUAAAUGGCCACAUAGCUAGUGAGUGGCGGAGUUGGGAUCGCCAAGAGGUUUCAGUGUAAACAGGCAAGGGGCAUCGGUAUCCCAUGAGUGGUGGUGAUCUGGGAAGACUUACAGAAAAGAUUGAAUUGGUGUGUAACAGAAGCUCUCUACUACACGGUUGAAACUUUAUAGUUUAAUAUGACCAGAAGCAAAGAUUAUAAUGUAGGGAAGUGGCAUUUGAUGAGAAAAACAUAAUGUAAAGUGAAAAAGCAAGAUCUUCAGUGAAGGCUAUGUGAGAGGUCGGAGAAACUGGAGAAAAAAGGUUAAAGCUUGAAUUUCUGGACACACACAAGGGUUGCUGGGCACUGUUGGCAACCACAGAUUUGUGUUCACACUGCUCUAAAGACUGUCAUUUUCCUACAACAGUGGUCUGGAGCUUGGAUACUGGAACAGAGGGGAAUGACUGGGUUGAUCCAGGUUGAGGUCUUACAUGGCAGAGGUAUAGAAACAAAGGGCAAGACAGGGAACAUGGUAGUGAAUGAUUAAAAUGAAAGACCUGGGGUUUAGGCCUGAUAAAGAAAAGUGAAGCCAGAAGUGAACUGAUUAGGAAAACACAUGCCCCAAGACUCAUCUGGGUAACUCCAGGACCAGAAGCCUGGUAAGGCAGGUCAGCCAGGUGACACACAUUUGAUAGCACCUUGAACAGAAGUGAAGGUCAGAGUCCUCUAAAAUUUCAAGGGGAUUUCUGAAACUGCCACUAGCUUUUCAUACCGUAAUGAAGGAAGUGAUAACAAAGGUUGUAAGUCAGGUGUUCAUUUAUUAAAUACAAGCUUUGAACAAACACCCCCAGGCAAGUUUGACAAGAAGUAACCUUCCUGGAAUGUUUCAAAAUACAGUUACGUUGAUCAAAUUUUAUUUCAAUCAAACUUUUUGUUGUUUUGUUUUAUUUUUUUUGUUUAUUUGCUUCUAGGUUUUCCUGUGUUGCAGUUAGAGCAUGUGCAUUAUUUCCUCAUAUGACAUCAACAGUGCAGCGUCAGCCUCUCUGGCUUGUAAAGGCACCCAGUAGACUUCUGCUCUGGGCAAUGGCUGCUUAGCAACCAGCAUCAAAUAAAGUAACGAAGCUUUUGUAGACUGUGAUACCAAAUAGGAACUGGCACCUUCACCUGCACCGGUAAAAAACUUUUAAAGUUUCUUUGUUUUUACAUAUCCAUUAAAAACUAUAUAUAUUAAAAAAAAACAACAACAACCAAAUAAACCAAGAUUGCUUGAUAAAACCUACUUAAAUAAUUUUCCAAGUUUAGUUAUUACCCUCUUGGUAAGCAACACCAGAGCUGAUAAAGAGUCUUCAUUUUCCUAUCAUACUCCAGCAAAGCCAGCACUUAAAACUAGGGAUAUCAGAAAAGUCUGCUUGAAUAGACUUAGAGCUGCUUCUGAGUUUCAGACAACAAAACAUCUCUUCAAGCUUCUGAGCGCGUAUAUACACCACGGUGUAUCAAGAUGAUAAUAUUUUAGUCUCGUUUUUGGGAUGUUCUUAAAUUAAGGAAAGAAAAAGAAAAAAAGGCACAGAGGACACUUGGUUUCCUAACCACCAGUGGCCUUAAGCUAAACACUUGCUUUUGUGAUGAGUUUAAAGAUACUCAGCAGCAUUAAUGGUGCCACAGCCAUUCAUAAAAAGUUUCAGGAAAUAACUUAAAAAAAAAAAAAAAAAAAGGCUUGCCAGAAAAGGCUUACAAUCUGAAGACCACAGAAGUAGAGUACAGACACAGAUACAAGAGGCAGCAUAGAGGUUGUUAACUAGAAAGCUGCUGGCAACAGCUGCCUUCUGAGGUUUUGUACCCAUUUUUCCUCCAAUUUUGUCCUAAAACUGGUCUUUUCCGCGCUUAAAAACAAAACAAAACAAAACAUCCUAUUACAUUGGGUUUGGAAAAUAAAUGCAAGUAGAUAGAAGCUUAUUUUUUUAUACACAGUUCAUUCGCAGAGCAGGAGGCUAAUAAAUAUGAAAUGAAGCUCAUCUUAAGAAAAUAAACAAAUCCUGUUAACCCAAGCCUGAAAGGCCCAGGUUGCAGACUAAAUUAGUAUCUUACAUUCUGGCAUUUCCAAGAGUCCUAGACUCCUUUUUUUUUCAUUAUAAGCAACAGCAACAGGCAACUUUACCUAGUGUGGGAUUCCCGCUGAUACGAGGUUUUCCAAGUGACACCAUCAAAAGCACAUCAAGGACUGCUUAGAGCAACUUGUGCUGGAAUAUCGUACAACUACCAUCUUCUCUGAAAGAGGCCACGGUUAAAAAUGAAGCAGUGACCCCUGUUUCUAGAUCAUAUCACUCUGUCACUUAUGAUAUAUUCAGGCUUACGGGGAUAGUGCUGUAGUCCAUGGGGGAAUGUGCCUCACUUAGCAUGGUAAGCUGCACCUUUGAGUAGGGAGCGCGAGCUCAACUUGGACAAGUGGGGCCCAUCCGCCUGCUAACUACACAGGGCUAAGUGGAUAUUUAAAUUGGCUGUGGACAAGGUUGUGCUCAAAUUCCUACUUUGCUAAUUGAUGAUCUAAGGCUGAGUUAGAAGAUCUUGGAAAUUGGGUCACAGGCCCAAACAAACGUUAACUAUAUACAUGUUAUAGUCUCAGAAUUUUGUCUAGAAUAAGUGUGUCAGUAAACAUGGCCACACACUGCAUACAUCUUACCAUGGAAGAGACAAUAUAGAGUGGUACUCAGUUUACACUAGACCAAUAUAAAAAUGCAUGGUGUAUAUAUAUACUGAGAUAGGCUGUUGAUGAGUGGCUUAAAAUGACAUUUUUCAUGGUUACCAUAUUUGUUCCCUAACUUUUCUACUCAAGCCUAGUCCUUAUAGCAAGUUUUCUUCCUUUUUUCUUUCACCUCAGAAUUGUCUGAAGAAAGUGUCAACAAUUCACGUCUGUCCUACCAAUCCUCCUAAAAAUAUUAUGGGGUAUAUAUAAGUUUUUGGGUAGUGAUAACCCCAGGGGCGAUUUCAUGGGAUCUUUUGAGUUACAAGAGAACACAAAAUUAAGAACUACCAACAGAAAUUGCAUCAGAUUCCUUUUUGAAAAUCUCAUCUAUUAUAUUCAAAAGUCUACUCAAACAUCAAGGUAUCUGCUUUUAUGUGAAAGGUUAUUCUGUAACAUGGCGGAGCCGUAACAAGAAAAGGGCUGACAUCCGGGUCAUGAAGACUAGUAAAUAGCUUGACGACAUAGGACUUUCUGGUGGUGUCAGCUGUCACUGAAAUAUGUGACCCCAUAUACUUAAAAGCCGUGUUCACCAAAGGUGUUUGAGCAGUUCUUGGAAGAACAACAGUAAGAUGGCAGGAAGUUUUAGUAGCUAAAGUUAAUAUAACUUAAGGUAGGAAAAGGAAGAAAAAAGAGUAGGAAGAGAGAACAAAGGGUACAAUUAGCAAUCGUUUCUAAACUUGGUGCUGCUAUAAUAAACAUAAUUUCCUGCAAGCCAGGAGAGCACUGUAAAGUUCUUAGGAAUAAAUCUAAAGUAUCAUAAUUUGAGCAAGAGCAGUUCUCUAAUCUAGUAAAAAAAAAAAAAAAAAAAAAGAAAGAAAGAAAGAAAAAGAAAA